CGGAAGGCAAGGAAAAAACAACAUACUUCCAAGAGACAAAGAAUCAACAGAACCAGCUAAUUAUGACACAGAUGUUGGAACUAUCUCAUAGGGAAUUUAAAAGGACUAUAAUUAGUAUGUUCAAGACACUAAUGGACAAGAUGGAUGCCACGCAAGGUCAGAUUGGUGAUUUCAGCAGAGAGCUGGAACUGUAAGAAUGAACCCAGGGCAAUUGCUAGAAAUAAGGAACAUUGUAACAGAGACAAAGAAUGCCUUCAAAAAGUUCAACUGUAGAUGACACAAAACCAAGUAAGGAAUCCAUGAACUUGAAGACAGUUCAACAGAAAUUACCCAAACAAAAUCACAAAAAGGAAAAAAUGGCAUCAAAAAAACCAGAACGGAAUAUCCAAGAGCUGUGGAAUAACAUCAAACAGUCUAACAUAGGCAUAACGGGCUACAGAGGAGGAGAGAGAAUGGAACAGAAGAAAGAAAA
rnacentral:lncRNA from 10 species